rnacentral:rRNA from 1 species
UACAGAGGGUGCAAGCGUUAAUCGGAAUUACUGGGCGUAAAGCGUGCGUAGACGGUUAUGUAAGUCAGAUGUGAAAGCCCCGGGCUCCAACCUGGGAAUUGCAUUUGAGACUGCAUAGCUAGGGUGCGGAAGAGGGAAGCGGAAUUUCCGGUGUAGCGGUGAAAUGCGUAGAUAUCGGAAGGAACACCAGUGGCGAAAGCGGCUUCCUGGUCCAGCACCGACGUUCAGGCACGAAAGCGUGGGGAGCAAACAGG